GCUAGACGUGAAACAAACCGGAUAAAUUCUAUGAGAUUGAUUUACAUACAAGUGUCAGGAAACUGACUUUAGUAGAAGCGGAAAUGACGCCUUCCAGUCAGGAGGUGGCGCCAAAAUCAAAAACAAACGCUACAGCACAUGGACUUCGCCAUUUUGUAUUGGACUGGAUCGUCAUCUCACUAGUCUACGAUCGCCAAAUUGUAGGUGAGUAAAGUUAACAAGUUUGAUGUGAUUAUCUUAAAUAUAAUUGUCUGUUGUUUAAUUACAUGUGUGACGCGUUGCAUGUUUCAGAGUAAAAUACACCUCACUACACAGACGGUCUGUCUGAAUAUACAGCAUCAUUUCAUCGUCUAUAUGGUGGGACAACCUGCUAGACAGGUUGAAGACAUCUGUACCUACCUCAAAGAAGGCAUGGAG